UACAGAGGUCCCAAGCGUUGUUCGGAUUCACUGGGCGUAAAGGGUGCGUAGGCGGUCAGGUAAGUCUGAAGUGAAAGCUCCAUGCUCAACUUGGAAAAUGCUUCAGAUACUAUCUGACUAGAGAGCCGGAGAGGAGGCUGGAAUUCUCGGUGUAGCAGUGAAAUGCGUAGAUAUCGAGAGGAACACCAGUGGCGAAAGCGAGUCUCUGGACGGCAUCUGACGCUGAGGCACGAAAGCCAAGGUAGCAAACGGG
rnacentral:rRNA from 1 species